CAGGUUUGCAGUGAGACUCAACCAUCAGUUGCUACAAUUUAGUUGGACACAUAUUUGCACCAAUAACUCAAUACACAGAGUGGUGUAAUUGAUCAUUUGGUGUGUGUGUGUGUGUUUUUUUUAUUUUUAUGAAUGCUAGUGUGGCCCAUAAUUCCUCAUUCAAAUGGACUGGUGUUCACUCAGUGCGAUGACGUCACGGAAGGUCACUGAGGACUUGGAUUCGCCUGCCGCUGAUGCACCCAGGAGGCGCCGUUUCUUUACAACCGUCAAUAAACCCUGGUGAAAAUGUUCCCAACCCCCAUAACACCGCUGGCACGGUCGAAUCCUUUCCAGGCUCCUCUUUUCUCCAUUAAACCAGAUCAGCAACAAGAGCCUGCAGAUAAAACACAAACUUGCUGCAGCAGCAUUUUUGGAAAGGUUGCUGGUGUUGUGACGAUGCUCAGUGAAAUUCUGCUACUGUAUUUAAAGUGCACUCGGACUGUCAGAAUGCUCGUCAUUCCAUUCGUAUAGAAUGAACGUCCUCCACAAGGAUUACACUCAGGGCUAAUAUACUUGACCUUGUCAUUAUUGGCUGUUAAUUCCUAGACGCUUUUUCUCAAGAAAAUAUUGCACUUGAACAUGAAGGACAAAAGAAUAGCUGACCCAAAUAUCAUUUAUAUACUUCUUUCGCCCUUCUUCCAUGGGACACAAAGACAUUUUUGUGCUGAUUGGUGUCUUCUAUCCAAUUACAAUGAAUGAGGACAAAGCAUGCAAAAUCAUCCUGAUUUUAGUUCUAAUGGUUUGUAAAGAAUAUGUAUAUAAAGUUUCCUGCAGUCUUGCCAUAGUUUUGUGUUAAACUCAAUCUAUUCAGGUAUUUAGUGUUAACAGCUGCAAACGGUUCAUAGUUAGUUGAACUCGACAAAGGCACAAUAUCUGAUUCAUGACUAAAUCAUUCAGAAUUUGCGAACUGGAUCAGACUCAAAUGAACAAUUCAUUCUCAAUUCAUACAACGCUACAUCUGUUAUGAACUCUAAUGAUUGUGCCAUUCAGAACUCCAUCUUAUUUCACUUCCUUGGACUCCAAACACAUUCAAUUGGCUUCAACUGACUUAA